GAUGAACGCUGGCGGCGUGCCUAAUACAUGCAAGUCGAGCGAACAGACGAGGAGCUUGCUCCUCUGACGUUAGCGGCGGACGGGUGAGUAACACGUGGAUAACCUACCUAUAAGACUGGGAUAACUUCGGGAAACCGGAGCUAAUACCGGAUAAUAUAUUGAACCGCAUGGUUCAAUAGUGAAAGACGGUUUUGCUGUCACUUAUAGAUGGAUCCGGGCCGCAUUAGCUAGUUGGGAAGGUCACGGCCUACCAAGGCAACGAUGCGUAGGCGACGUGAGAGGGUGGUAGGCCACCCUGGAACGGGAACACGGACCAGGCGCCUGAGGGAGGCAGCAGUAGGGAAUCUGCCGCAAUGGGCGGAAACCUGGCGGAGCGACGCGGCGUGAGUGGUAGAAGCCUUGGGUGCGUGAAAACGUGUUUUUAGUGGAAAACAAAUGUGGACGGUAACGAAGACGGCUUGACGGUAACGAAUAAGAAAGCCACGGCUAACUACGUG
rnacentral:rRNA from 1 species